rnacentral:sRNA from 1 species
GAGUUGAGGAGUGCUGAAACAAUUGGUCGUACCAUCAUAUCUCCAGCUAUUUCUGGAAAGGAUUUUGUGAUAACUGAAGGCACAUUGGUCUUUGAACCUGGCCAGAGAAGCACUGUAUUGGAUGUCAUCCUAACGCCAGAGACAGGAUCUUUAAAUUCAUUUCCUAAACGCUUCCAGAUUGUCCUUUUUGACCCAAAAGGUGGUGCCAGAAUUGAUAAAGUGUAUGGGACUGCCAACAUUACCCUUGUCUCAGAUGCAGAUUCGCAGGCCAUUUGGGGGCUUGCAGAUCAGCUACAUCAGCCUGUGAAUGAUGAUAUUCUCAACAGAGUGCUCCAUACCAUCAGCAUGAAAGUGGCCACAGAAAACACAGAUGAACAACUCAGUGCCAUGAUGCAUUUAAUAGAAAAGAUAACUACUGAAGGAAAAAAUCAAGCUUUCAGUGUUGCCAGCCGAACU